AUAAAUGAUGUCUUCAUUUUUAAAGAGCCGAGAAAACUUUUAUUUUAACCUAUUUACAGCUUUUAAUGAAUGAGUAUACUCCUAUGAACAACAUUUGGAUCAUAUUUGUUUCUCUCUGAUUUCCACAGAAUUUGGAAACUAUUUGAAUCAAACUGACUUAUGGAGCCAAUCAAAGCCCCUUGGAAAAACUGGCCUCAUACCUUUGUCUACAGAGUUCCUGACCUGUGAUGGAGUCUCGCACUGUCACUGCAAUGGCGCGACCUCGGCUCACUGCAACCUCUGCCUCCUGCAUUCAAGCGAUUCUCCCACGUUCAAGCAACUCUCCUGCCUCAGCCUCCCGAGUAGCUGGAAUUAGAGGCACCCGCCAUCAAGCCCAGGCAAUUUUUGUAUUUUUUGUAGAGAAAGGGUUUCACCAUGUUGGUCAGCCUGGUCUUGAACUCCUAACCUCAGGUGAUCCGCCCACCUAUGGCUUCCCAGAGUGCUGGGAUUACUGGUGUGAGCCACCGCGCCUGAUGGCAUUUUUAAAAUAGCAGCUACAGCACACUAAUAGAAGCACCUAUGAGCUCUCUGUGAAAAGUUUAAUUGAUUAUAAAACUCAGCCAGCCAAGAAAUGAAUCAAGAUUUUAAAACUCAUUUGUGGCAACAUGGAUGGAACUGGAGAUUAUUAUAAGUGAAAUAAGCCAGACACAGAAAGACAAAUAUUGCAUGUUCUCACUCAUAUAUGGGAGCUAAAAAAAGUUGAUCUCAUAAAAAAAAGUUGAUCUCAUAAAAAAAGUUGAUCUCAUAUGAUAGAUGCUAGAGGCUGGGAAAAGUGGGUGGGUGGGAAGGGGAAUGAAGAGAGGUGGGUUAAUGGUUACAAACACACCAAUAAAAAGUUUAAGUUCCAUUGUCAACAGUAGAGUAGAGUGACUACAGUUAACAACAAUAUAUUCUGUAUUUCAAAGUAGCUGGAAGAGAGGACUUGAAUUGUUCCCAACACAUAGAAAUGAUAAAUACUCAAAGUGAUAGACAUGUCAAAUAAAUACCCUGACUUGAUCAUUACACAUUCUAUAUAUAUAACAAAAUAUCACAUAUUAUCUUAUUACCCUAUAAAUAUGCAAAAUAUUAUGUAGCAACUUUUAAACUUUUUUUUAAAGAUUGGAAAACUCAGUAUUGGAAAAGACAUAGUUGAAGGGCAAGUAGUAAACAAUGAAUCUAUGUAAAUGUAAAAUGAAGGAUCAAAAGCUGGGGUAGUAAAAAAAUAUAUAAACAAAUACAAUCAGGGAAAAGGGGUAGGACUUAGCAAUGACAGCUGGCAUUUAUUUGGUGUUCAUUACAUUGUCGGUACUGUUGUGUUACAAGAAAAACCUG
rnacentral:lncRNA from 1 species